rnacentral:rRNA from 1 species
UACGUAGGGGGCAAGCGUUGUCCGGAAUCAUUGGGCGUAAAGAGCGUGUAGGCGGCCAGAAAAGUCCGCUGUGAAAACUCGAGGCUCAACUUCGAGCUGUCGGUGGAAACUUUCUGGCUAGAGUCCGGAAGAGGAGAAUGGAAUUCCUGGUGUAGCGGUGAAAUGCGCAGAUAUCAGGAAGAACACCCGUGGCGAAGGCGGUUCUCUGGGACGGUACUGACGCUGAGGCAUGAAAGCGUGGGGAGCAAACAGG